rnacentral:piRNA from 1 species
UAGGAUUGCCAGUUGAUGUCAAUGAACU